GACGUAGGGCGCGAGCGUUGUCCGGAUUUAUUGGGCGUAAAGAGCUCGUAGGCGGUUUGUCGCGUCUGCUGUGAAAACCUAAGGCUCAACCUUGGGCUUGCAGUGGGUACGGGCAGACUAGAGUGCGGUAGGGGGUGACUGGAAUUCCUGGUGUAGCGGUGGAAUGCGCAGAUAUCAGGAGGAACACCGAUGGCGAAGGCGGCUCGCUGGGCCAGUUCUGACACUCAUCCG
rnacentral:rRNA from 1 species